AUGCCGCCGUCCUGGCCGGGCUUGCCUCCGCCUCCGCGUCAAAGGGCCGGAUCCACGGGGAGGAGCUUGCUGCAGACCAAGAGGGACUGCCCUAUGGACUUUGAGUCCCAGAACUACACAAUCAUCACAAGCAGGUGCAAAGGGCCACAAUCUCCUCCUACGGAAUGUUGUGAUGCUUUCAAGAAAUUUGCAUGCCCAUUUUCCUUGUACAUCAACAACCAGAGCACUAACUGUGCAGACACAAUGUUAACCUACAUCAACGUCCAUGGAUCGUACCCGGCAGCCCUAUUCGCCGACGAGUGCCAGAAAGGAAAGGAAGGGGUUUCUUGCGAAGGCAUCCCAGAGCUCAUGGGAUUUCGCGACAUCCUUUGGUUGCUCUCUUGUGUGGAAUAG
rnacentral:rRNA from 1 species